rnacentral:rRNA from 1 species
AGGGGAAAGGGCUCUUGAGNNNCUUGCUAUUGAUGAGCCUGCGUAAGAUUAGCUUGUUGGUGAGGUAAAGGCUCACCAAGGCGACGAUCUUUAGCUGUUCUGAGAGGAUGAUCAGCCACACUGGGACUGAGACACGGCCCAGACUCCUACGGGAGGCAGCAGUGGGGAAUAUUGCACAAUGGGGGAAACCCUGAUGCAGCCAUGCCGCGUGUGUGAAGAAGGCUCUAGGGUUGUAAAGCACUUUCAGUGGGGAGGAAAAGUUAGUAGUUAAUACCUGCUAUCCGUGACGUUACCACAGAAGAAGGANCGCU